AGCGGACUCGGCCUUUUGACUAUGAUCAAGCGUAGUAUCUGUUCUUACCAGAUCUUACCAGUGUGACAACUAAUAUGUCUCCACCGGGGGACUUGCUUGUCACAUCUAUUUUGGUUGGGGAAGUGUCUUCAUCAUGAGCUCGCUCAGAAGCCCUCACGUGCGCUGCUAUAGCACCAAAGCCAGCGGCAACACGCCCUAC
rnacentral:snRNA from 1 species